rnacentral:rRNA from 1 species
UACGUAGGGUGCAAGCGUUAAUCGGAAUUACUGGGCGUAAAGCGUGCGCAGGCGGUUUGGCAAGAAAGAUGUGAAAUCCCAGAGCUUAACUUUGGAACUGCAUUUUUAACUGCCAAGCUAGAGUAUGUCAGAGGGGGGUAGAAUUCCACGUGUAGCAGUGAAAUGCGUAGAGAUGAGGAGGAAUACCGAUGGCGAAGGCAGCCCCCUGGGAUAAUACUGACGCUCAUGCACGAAAGCGUGGGGAGCAAACAGG